rnacentral:rRNA from 1 species
CUUAAAUUGAAGAGUUUGAUAAUGGCUCAGAUUGAACGCUGGCGGCAGGCCUAACACAUGC